rnacentral:rRNA from 1 species
UGGGGAAUAUUGCACAAUGGGGGCAACCCUGAUGCAGCGACGCCGCGUGAACGAAGAAGGUAUUCGUAUCGUAAAGUUCUGUCCUAUGGGAAGAUAAUGACAGUACCAUAGAAGAAAGCUCCGGCUAAAUACGUGCCAGCAGCCGCGGUAAUACGUAUGGAGCGAGCGUUGUCCGGAAUUAUUGGGCGUAAAGGGUACGCAGGCGGUUUAAUAAGUCGAAUGUUAAAGAUCGGGGCUCAACCCCGUAAAGCAUUGGAAACUGAUAAACUUGAGUAGUGGAGAGGAAAGUGGAAUUCCUAGUGUAGUGGUGAAAUACGUAGAUAUUAGGAGGAAUACCAGUAGCGAAGGCGACUUUCUGGACACAAACUGACGCUGAGGUACGAAAGCGUGGGGAGCAAACAGG